AUUGAACGCUGGCGGCAGGCUUAACACAUGCAAGUCGAGCGGGGGAAGGUAGCUUGCUACCGGACCUAGCGGCGGACGGGUGAGUAAUGCUUAGGAAUCUGCCUAUUAGUGGGGGACAACAUCUCGAAAGGGAUGCUAAUACCGCAUACGUCCUACGGGAGAAAGCAGGGGAUCUUCGGACCUUGCGCUAAUAGAUGAGCCUAAGUCGGAUUAGCUAGUUGGUGGGGUAAAGGCCUACCAAGGCGACGAUCUGUAGCGGGUCGGAGAGGAUGAUCCGCCACACUGGGACUGGGACACGGCCCAGACUCCUACGGGAGGCAGCAGUGGGGAAUAUUGGACAAUGGGGGGAACCCUGAUCCAGCCAUGCCGCGUGUGUGAAGAAGGCCUUAUGGUUGUAAAGCACUUUAAGCGAGGAGGAGGCUACUUUAGCUAAUACCUAGAGAUAGUGGACGUUACUCGCAGAAUAAGCACCGGCUAACUCUGUGCCAGCCGCCGCCGUAA
rnacentral:rRNA from 1 species